GAUUAACGCUAGCGGCAGGCCUAAUACAUGCAAGUCGAACGGCAGCACGGGUAGCAAUACCUGGUGGCGAGUGGCGCACGGGUGCGUAACACGUAUGCAAUCUACCUUUAACUGGGGGGACAACUCCGAGAAAUCGGGGCUAAUACCCCAUAACAUCCCGAUAGGACAUCCUAUCGGGAGCAAACCUACGGGGGUUAAAGAUGAGCAUGCGCCCGAUUAGUUAGUUGGCGGGGUAACAGCCCACCAAGACAGCGAUCGGUAGGGGAUCUGAGAGGAUGAUCCCCCACACGGGUACUGAGACACGGACCCGACUCUACGGGAGGCAGCAGUAAGGAAUAUUGGACAAUGGAGGCAACUCUGAUCCAGCCAUGCCGCGUGAAGGAUGAAUGCGCUA
rnacentral:rRNA from 1 species